AUUGAACGCUGGCGGCAGGCUUAACACAUGCAAGUCGAGCGGAGACUUCGGUCUUAGCGGCGAACGGGUGAGUAAUACCUAGGAAUCUGCCUAUUAGUGGGGGAUAACGAAUCGAAAGGUUCGCUAAUACCGCAUACGUCCUACGGGAGAAAGGGGGGGAUCUUCGGACCUCUCGCUAAUAGAUGAGCCUAGGCCGGAUUAGCUAGUUGGUAGGGUAAAGGCCUACCAAGGCGACGAUCUGUAGCUGGUCUGAGAGGAUGGCCAGCCACACUGGAACUGAGACACGGUCCAGACUCCUACGGGAGGCAGCAGUAGGGAAUAUUGGACAAUGGGCGAAAGCCUGAUCCAGCCAUGCCGCGUGAUAGAUGAAGGCCCUCUGGGUUGUAAAUAUCUUUUAUCUGGGAAGAAACAAUCUUAUUCUUAAGAUCUUGACGGUACCAGAGGAAUAAGCACCGGCUAACUCCGUGCCAGCAGCCGCGGUAAUGUACAGUGU
rnacentral:rRNA from 1 species